rnacentral:rRNA from 1 species
GACGAACGCUGGCGGCGUGCCUAAUACAUGCAAGUUGAGCGCUGAAGGUUGGUCCUUGUACCAACUGGAUGAGCAGCGAACGGGUGAGUAACGCGUGGGGAAUCUGCCUUUGAGCGGGGGACAACAUUUAGAAACGAAUGCUAAUACCGCAUAAAAACUUUAAACACAAGUUUUAAGUUUGAAAGAUGCAAUUGCAUCACUCAAAGAUGAUCCCGCGUUGUAUUAGCUAGUUGGUGAGGUAAAGGCUCACCAAGGCGAUGAUACAUAGCCGACCUGAGAGGGUGAUCGGCCACAUUGGGACUGAGACACGGCCCAAACUCCUACGGGAGGCAGCAGUAGGGAAUCUUCGGCAAUGGACGAAAGUCUGACCGAGCAACGCCGCGUGAGUGAAGAAGGUUUUCGGAUCGUAAAACUCUGUUGGUAGAGAAGAACGUUGGUGAGAGUGGAAAGCUCAUCAAGUGACGGUAACUACCCAGAAAGGGACGGCUAACUACGU